AGCAGUAUUGGCCCACCGGGUGAUUCACAAGGUUCCAACACAAGCCGCCAGAGAAAGGGAGCUAUCAAGAUUUUGGUGAUGAGAGAAACUGUAGCACAUGGUCUAUAGAUCUCCAUGCAGUUUGUUCAGUGGCUUGAACAAUGCAGUGAGUAUUCCAACCCUGAAGAACUGGGAAAGGAGAGAGAUGAAGAAAUCCAGGAGGGAGCCAGAAAUCAGCAGCUGACACAAUGCUUACCUGGAUACAUUGAGCCUCCAUCCACUGUCCUACCAGCAAUUCCAGUCUUUUCCAGGAUACUCCUUCCCAAAUAGGCUCUCGAAGGUUCUCUCUUCUUGAACGAUGGAGAAGGAAAUGGCAACCCACUCCGGUAUUCUUGCCUGGAGAGGCCUACGGAUAGAGGAGCCUGGUGGGCUGCUGUCCAUAGGGUCACACAGAGUCGGGCAUGACUGAGCAACUUCACUUUCACUUUUCACUCUCAUGCAUUGGAGAGGAAAUGGCAACCCACUCCAGUGUUCUUGCCUGGAGAAUCCCAGCCUGGUGAGCUGCUGUCUAUGGGAUCGCACAGAGUCGGACACAACUGAAGCGACUUAGGAGCAGCAGCAGCUUCUUGAAAGAUGCCCUUCAGUGCUUCAUUCCUGCUUCAACUAAGUUCUGCUGGUACUUCAGUUUCCACUUGCAAGGGCCUUUGGAAGCCUUUCCCGACCUCAAGAUUAAAGUCCUCCUCUCCCUGUACCCUAGCAGGGUAGUAGCUUGCUGUACAGCAACUGCUUGUUAACUUCUCGAUCUCCUCCAUCGCCUGAAAGCUCUUAGAGGACAGGAUUCAUGUACAGUGCAUUGUAUUCCCAGGAGUUAGGAGGGUCUAAUCCUUAUUAGCUACGUACAAAACAUCUGUUGAACAAACGGUUGCAAAUGAAUAGUAACUUAAAGAAAGGCUACAUUUCUGAGGUAAUGCUAAUUGCUUGUAGGAUAGUUAAAUGUCAGUAUUGAAACCUAAUCUUUAGCUGCUGUCUUGCAGAUAAAACGGAUGUUCACCAAGUAUGUAUUUUGUAUUUUGUUGCACUGUACACCCCAACUAGUAAGCCGAGGAAUCGACAUGUGUUAGAUAAUUGUACUGUUUCUAAAAACCACAAACUGAGAAUGAUAAAUAAUCAAUUCAGUUUAGUAUUUACUAAUUAAAAAAAAAAAGUAUUUACUAAUUUUACCACACUCUUUUGUUAUGUAAUGUAGGGGAGUCAUAGGGAUUAUGCAUUCUAUUUGAGUAAACUUUAAAACCAAAUAUUUUAUGGUAAAGAGCUUUUAAGGUAGCCAAAGCACUGAUAUGAUAUAUCUGCUGUAAAGAGAACUGCAAGAGUUUUAUUUAUAUUUCUGAUGUUAAAAGUUACUUAAUAAAGACUUGUUUCCAUUAAAAAAAAUAAAGACUAUAUCAUGUUCAGUACCAUAACUUUAAGAAAAUAGAAGUA
ensembl:lncRNA